GUGGGCUUGGACGGUUGACAGUGAUAUUGGUUACACCAAAUAGGCUGAUAGCCAGCCUGACAAUGCUGGUCUCAGAGAGUCCUGCACUGAGAUGAACUACUGGGACUGGGGACUCUGGAACAAAGCGUACUGUUAUGACAAGAAGCCCUUCGUGUGUGAAGUGAAAGUCUAGCAGUUCAGAGAGAACCUGAAGAGCAGCAGUUGGACCAGUCUGCUUCAACUGUAACCACUGCAAGCUUUUACAUUUACUGCAAUAAAUAUUCAGCAUCAGAA